UACGUAGGGUGCAAGCGUUGUCCGGAAUUAUUGGGCGUAAAGAGCUCGUAGGCGGUUUGUCGCGUCUGCUGUGAAAACGCGAGGCUCAACCUCGCGCCUGCAGUGGGUACGGGCAGACUAGAGUGCGGUAGGGGAGAUUGGAAUUCCUGGUGUAGCGGUGGAAUGCGCAGAUAUCAGGAGGAACACCGAUGGCGAAGGCAGAUCUCUGGGCCGCUACUGACGCUGAGGAGCGAAAGCGUGGGGAGCGAACAGG
rnacentral:rRNA from 1 species